UACGUAGGGGGCUAGCGUUGCUCGGAAUCACUGGGCGUAAAGCGCACGUAGGCGGAUUGUUAAGUCAGGGGUGAAAUCCUGGAGCUCAACUCCAGAACUGCCUUUGAUACUGGCGAUCUCGAGUCCGGGAGAGGUGAGUGGAACUGCGAGUGUAGAGGUGAAAUUCGUAGAUAUUCGCAAGAACACCAGUGGCGAAGGCGGCUCACUGGCCAGGUACUGACGCUGAGGUGCGAAAGCGUGGGGAGCAAACAGG
rnacentral:rRNA from 1 species